UACAGAGACUGCAAGCGUUAUUCGGAUUCACUGGGCGUAAAGGGUGCGCAGGCGGCCAAGUGUGUGAGGCGUGAAAGCCCGGGGCUUAACCCCGGAAUUGCACCUCAAACUACAUGGCUAGAGCAUUGGAGAGAGUAGCGGAAUUCACGGUGUAGCAGUGAAAUGCGUAGAUAUCGUGAGGAACACCAGAGGCGAAGGCGGCUACCUGGACAAUUGCUGACGCUCAGGCACGAAAGCGUGGGGAGCAAAAGGG
rnacentral:rRNA from 1 species